rnacentral:sRNA from 1 species
ACUAAAUCCGCACACGUUUCGACACGUUUAUCUGGGUGCUGGUGGAUAUUUUCCGCUGGUGGAUAAAUGGGAGGCGUGGAGGUCUAAC